GCCCCUGUAGCUCAGCGGUAGAGCACCACCAUGGUAAGGUGGGGGUCAUCGGUUCAAGUCCGAUCGGGGGCU
rfam:Spirochaeta africana DSM 8902, complete genome.